AUGUGGAGAUGGAGAACUUGAUCAGUCUGCAUUGAGAGAUUCAAGUUUCCCAUUAUCCAAACGAAGCAAGUUCAGUGAAAAUCUACUGGGAAGUGAUCAGGUAUGUUACGAUCUUGCAUAUUGUCAGCAACAAAUUAUUUUUGGAAACUGACUUAUUUUUUCCCACCAGCCAAAAUGCUGUAUACAAAAGACGGCCCUUGCAGGUAUAUUUCAAUACUGCAAAAUCAUCCUAUACUUCGAUUACAUAUACUGUCUUUAGUUCUAAGUCCCUACCAAUGUAUGUCUUUAGGUGGUGAUAAAAAUGUCCUUGGUUCUACCAUCUGCAUGUUUCAAGAGCUUCUUGAGUGCUUAUUUGGCAUGAAAGUUUCUAUUGUUACCAAAGCUGACAAACAUGUAUUUUUGCAAUUCAUCAAUUGAGUGUAAAUAAAUCGCUGCGGCUUAAAGUGUUUUUAUCUGGAUCUUAUUGAUUUUGAAGAAUCCAGCAAGAGGUUACUCUUUUAGCUUAAUAUGGACGACGAAUUUACAAGGAGAUGACGAGUUGCUAUAUCAUGUAUUGUCAUUGGGGACCAUCGAAAGCAUCGCGCCUGAGUGGAUGAAGGAAAUCCUGAUGUUUAACACAAAAAUGUGCCCGGUCUUCUUUGAGAAGAUGUCCCGUGUUGUAAAACUUUAUUGAGUGUAGACUUUUUCUCCAAGCAUUACAUAAUUAAGCACUCUGUAUUGUGGUUGCUGUUUUUGUUUUGCCAUUACAGUUAAAAGAAUCUUUCAUCCAAUUAAUAUAUGAGUAGCUCCAUUUAAAUUUUUUGUUUUGGUUUGUGCCACUAGAUGGAUCAUUCUAU